AGUGGUAUAACUGGGUCAAAUGGUGUUCCUUUCCAUGUUUUCUGAGAAAUCUCCAUAGUACUUUCCAGAGUGGUUGCACCAAUUUAUAUUCCCACCAGCAUU
rnacentral:pre_miRNA from 1 species